UACGUAGGGGGCAAGCGUUGUCCGGAAUCACUGGGCGUAAAGCGUGCGUAGGCGGUUUGUUAAGUCCGGAGUGAAAGUCCAUGGCUCAACCAUGGGAAUGCUUUGGAAACUGGCAGACUUGAGUGCUGGAGAGGCAAGGGGAAUUCCACGUGUAGCGGUGAAAUGCGUAGAUAUGUGGAGGAAUACCAGUGGCGAAGGCGCCUUGCUGGACAGAUACUGACGCUGAGGCACGAAAGCGUGGGGAGCAAACAGG
rnacentral:rRNA from 1 species